rnacentral:tRNA from 1 species
UUGAUAGAAGCCAAAAAGAGGCAUAUUACUGUUGAUAAUAUAAAUGAAAUUAAUUUCCUAUCAAU